rnacentral:misc_RNA from 1 species
GAUAAAGAACGCAGCGAAAUGCGAUAAGUAAUGUGAAUUGCAGAAUUCCGUGAAUCAUCGAAUCUUUGAACGCAUAUUGCGCCCUCUGGUAUUCCGGAGGGCAUGCCUGUCCGAGCGUCAUUACUACCCUCAAGCGCAGCUUGUUUGUUGAGCCACUGUCCCUUACUGGACAGGCUUGAAAUGCAGUGGCGAUGCCGAGUUUGGUGCCCGAGUGUAUGGAGCUUUGUCACACGCUUUGGUGGCCCGCCGGCAUUUGUCCAAACCCCUAAAAUAACCAGAUUUGACCUCGGAUCAGGUAGGAAUACCCGCUGAACUUAAGCAUAUCAAUAAGCGGAGGA